CACAGAGUUUUACAUAUAUACAUCUACUUCUAUUGCUGCUUCUUCUUCUUCUUCUUCGUCUUCUCCUCCUCCUCCUCCUCCUCCUUUCUUUUUCCUUCUCCUCCUCCUUCCUUUCCUCUUCUUCAGGUCUAUACAGAAUUUGGGAUGCAUAACUCUGAUGGGACCCAAAACUUUACGGAUCGGACUUGUAACACGGCCCUAAGCUUAACCCGGUAGCAGCGAUGGGCCAAAUUUGUGGCUUUACCGUGUAGCAGCGACAGGCCAAAUUUGUGGCUUUACCAUGUAGCAGCGACGGGCCAAAUUUGUGGCUUUACCAUGUAGCAGCGACGGGCCAAAUUUGUGGCUUUACCAUGUAGCAGCGACGGGCCAAAUUUGUGGCUUUACCGUGUAGCAGUGACGGGCCAAAUUUGUGGCUUUACCGUGUAGCAGCGACGGGCCAAAUUUGUGGCUUUACCGUGUAGCAGCGACGGCCAAAUUUGUGGCUUUACCGUGUAGCAGUGACGGGCCAAAUUUGUGGCUUUACCGUGUAGCAGCGACGGGCCAAAUUUGUGGCUUUACCGUGUAGCAGCGACGGGCCAAAUUUGUGCCAUGAUAUAAACCCCCCAAAAUAGAUGAUACAUAAACAGAUCACAAAUGCUUUGAUAUAUACAGCCGUCCCUCAAAUAGUACGGUUUCCAAUAGUACAGUUUCGAUUUUAUAGGGAUUGUCAUGUAAGAAUUUUAUUAGGAUUUUUAAAUUUUCCGCUUGUCGCACCAAGUAGCCAUGGCAUGAGUGGCAACACUGUUCUACCAAAACACCCGCUGAAAACACCCCAAAGCGUUCGAGAAAGUGUUCACCUCGCAGAAGAAUUCAGAUUUAGGAGAAGUUACGUUUUGGGAUGAGUUACGUUGUGGUAGGGAGAGCUUACCACGUGAAUGAGAGCAGAGUUCGCUGUAUCUAUCAUGGUGUAAAAUAAAUUCUUGCCGCAGUAUUAAAACUUCCAGUGCUCCAAGAGUGCUGUAGAGUGGUGAUAAGGGCCGUCCUUUGACUAAGCCUCGUCGUUGCUUUGGUAACCGCAUCUCACUCACAGCAAAAUGGGGUACGCUGAUCUUCCUGAUGCAAUGGAAUCACUUAUGUGUUUGUUUGGGGUGGCACAGAAGCGUUCCACCUCUCAAAGCCGGGAGCGGAACGAACGUACCAAGCUGGCAACUCGUGCUGUCGUGUCAUGCGUUUGAGAGCACUCGGGACGUUCCGAAAGUCCCGAUUCCCUCUCUCAAACGCAGCCCAGGGGUGUUUCUAAGGGGGGGGGCGGGGGGCAAUAAUAUUAUACGGAUUUUCGAAUAGUACGGGGGUCCUGAGUCUCUAACCCCUGUACUAUUUGAGGGGCGACUGUGUUAUGAAAUGGUUUGUGUGAGGGGUGAAUUUUCUCGCUUAGAGGGACCUGCCUAUGACUUGAAAUCUUCCAAGAGGAGGGUAUCAGGACACCUCUCCUCCCGAAUUUGACCUUGCGUUUGGCCGCCUCUUCUGGUUCUUUUAUGGGAGCAGCAAUUAGCGGGGUUUCUUUUUGUUAUUGUUUUUUUUGUGUGCCCUUGAGCUGCCUCCUUUGUCGUAAAAAAAAUAAAAAAUUAAAAAAAUAAAGAAAUAUGAUCCCUGCUAUCAUUCACAACACAACGCUCUUCCUUUUAAAUCGUUCACAGUGCUAUUUAAUUUUUUUUAAUAUGCGUUUUUUUUUAAAGUGCGUUUUAAUGGCGGGAAAUACGGCAUGUGACUUAUUUUGCAAGACACGGGAAGGGAACUAUACUCACAUUUCUGUAUUUCCUCUUAAUAUCGCUUAAGUGUACAGGGAAAUAUGUGACUUAUUUUGCAAGACACGGGAAGGGAACUAUACUCACAUUUCUGUAUUUCCUCUUAAUAUCGCUUAAGUGUACAGGGAAAUAUGUGACUUAUUUUGCAAGACAAGAGAAGGGAACUAUACUCACAUUUCUGCAUUUCCUCUUAAAAUUGCUUAAGUAUACAGGCAAAUAUGUGACUUAUUUUGCAGGAACACACACACACACACACACACACACACACGAGGCUCUGUACUGUAUCUACAUUUCCGUAUAUCCACUUAAAACAGGUUAAAUAUACAGGCACUUAUGUGAUUUAUUUUGCAAGAUACGGGGAGACUAAGCCUUACCCCCAUGUCCAGAUAUCCACUCAAACUAGUUAAUUAUCACAGGCGGAUAUGUGUGAUUUAUCUUGCAAGGAGACAUGGAUAAGCGGACUAACCUUACCCCCCAUUUCCCCAUAUCCACACACACUAGUUCGAUAUACAUAGCCGGAUAUGUGAUUUAUUUUGCAAGCAGACACGGGAUGGGGGAUGAACUCUCUCCCCAUAUCCACUCAAAACGGGUUAAAUAUACAGGCAGAUAUGGGUUUUAUUUUGCAAGAAGACACGGAUAGGGGUACUAACUCUAUCCCCAUAUCCACUCAAAACGGGUUAAAUAUACAGGCGGAUAUAGGUUUUAUUUUGCAAGCAGACACGGGAUGGGGGACGAACUCUCUCCCCAUAUCCACUCAAAACGGGUUAGAUAUACAGGCAGAUAUGGGUUUUAUUUUGCAAGAAGACACGGGAAGGGGGACGAACUCUCUCCCCAUAUCCACUCAAAACGGGUUAAAUAUACAGGCGGAUAUAGGUUUUAUUUUGCAAGAAGACACGGGAUGGGGGACGAACUCUCUCCCCAUAUCCACUCAAAACGGGUUAAAUAUACAACCAGAUAUGGGUUUUAUUUUGCAAGAAGACACGGAUAGGGGUACUAACUCUCUCCCCAUAUCCACUCAAAACGGGUUAAAUAUACAGGCAGAUAUGGGUUUUAUUUUGCAAGAAGACACGGAUAGGGGUACUAACUCUAUCCCCAUAUCCAUACAAAACGGG